rfam:Enterococcus faecalis V583, complete genome.
UGCUAUAGUAAUAGAUGUAGUUUUUGUUCGGUAAUAUGGGUAGCUGUUUCAAAUAAACAUCUUCCACAUUUUUCACCUUUCAAGUAAUUGCAAAAUAUGAAUGUGUUAUAACACACAUCUAGGAGGAUAUUUAUUAUGGAAACAGGUACAGUAAAAUGGUUUAACUCAGACAAAGGCUUUGGCUUCAUCACUGCAGAAAACGGAAACGAUGUAUUCGUACAUUUCUCAGCUAUCCAAGGUGACGGCUUCAAAACUUUAGAAGAAGGUCAAGCAGUAACUUUCGAAAUCGAAGAAGGUCAACGUGGCCCUCAAGCAACUAACGUUACUAAAGCUUAAUUAAACAAUACUGACUCAAAAACCUGACGUUAAUCGUCAGGUUUUUUU